AUUGAACGCUGGCGGCAGGCUUAACACAUGCAAGUCGAGCGAGCGGCGGACGGGUGAGUAAUGUCUGGGAAACUGCCUGAUGGAGGGGGAUAACUACUGGAAACGGUAGCUAAUACCGCAUACCAUCGGAUGUGCCCAGAUGGGAUUAGCUAGUGGGUGGGGUAACGGCUCACCUAGGCGACGAUCCCUAGCUGGUCUGAGAGGAGGACCAGACACACUGGAACCGAGACACGGUCCAGACUCCUACGGUAGGCAGCAGUGGGGAAUAGUGCACAAUGGGCGCAAGCCUGAUGCAGUCGUGCCGCGUGUAUGAAGAAGGCCUUCGGGGUGUAAAGUACUUUCAGCGGGGAGGCUUUACCCGCAGAAGAAGCACCGGCUAACUCCGUGCCAGCAGCCGCGGUAAUUC
rnacentral:rRNA from 1 species